CCUACGGGAGGCAGCAGUGAGGAAUAUUGGUCAAUGGACGAGAGUCUGAACCAGCCAAGUAGCGUGAAGGAUGACUGCCCUAUGGGUUGUAAACUUCUUUUAUAUGGGAAUAAAAUGUUCCACGUGUGGGAUUUUGUAUGUACCAUAUGAAUAAGGAUCGGCUAACUCCGUGCCAGCAGCCGCGGUAAUACGGAGGAUCCGAGCGUUAUCCGGAUUUAUUGGGUUUAAAGGGAGCGUAGGUGGAUUGUUAAGUCAGGUGUGAAAGUUUGCGGCUCAACCGCAAAAUUGCAGUUGAAACUGGCAGUCUUGAGUACAGUAGAGGUGGGCGGAAUUCGUGGUGUAGCGGUGAAAUGCUUAGAUAUCACGAAGAACUCCGAUUGCGAAGGCAGUUCACUGGACUGCAACUGACACUGAGGCUCGAAAGUGUGGGUAUCAAACAGGAUUAGAUACCCUAGUAGUC
rnacentral:rRNA from 1 species